CCGGGACCCACAGGUGUGUCCGGAGCUGGCCCCAGACACAAAGCGCCAAGAAUUGGCGGGGACAUCUCAGCCGGCGGGGACACACCCCGGAGUCCGAGGUCCCCGUCACCAGGGUGCAGCUGCCCAGACUGUCCUCUCCAGAAGCCAGCGCCUUGGCCGUCUGCAUCUCACUGUGUCCUCGGCACUUAGAACAGUCCUGGUGCACAGUAGGUGCGCUUGGUGGGGAUGAGAUCAGUGAACAGAUGAAGGCAGAAGGGCCUUCAUGCCACAGAAGGACAUGGGGACAGGAAAGGGCUCGGCCAGGAUAUCCCUUCCUGUGGCCGACAGUCAACAGAGCCUUCCCCACUGCCAGACCGAAGGUCUCUUCCUCCUCCUAGUAUCCAUG
rnacentral:lncRNA from 10 species